GACGAACGCUGGCGGCGUGCUUAACACAUGCAAGUCGAACGGAAAGGCCCUGCGUUUGUGGGGUGCUCGAGUGGCGAACGGGUGAGUAACACGUGAGUAACCUGCCCUUGACUUUGGGAUAACUUCAGGAAACUGGGGCUAAUACCGGAUAGGAGCUCCUGCUGCAUGGUGGGGGGUGGAAAGUUUCGGCGGUUGGGGAUGGACUCGCGGCUUAUCAACUUGUUGGUGGGGUAGUGGCUUACCAAGGCUUUGACGGGUAGCCGGCCUGAGAGGGUGACCGGCCACCUUGGGACUGAGAUACGCCCCAGACUCCUACGGGAGGCAGCAGUGGGGAAUAUUGCACAAUGGGCGGAAGCCUGAUGCAGCAACGCCGCGUGCGUGAUGACGGCCUUCGGGUUGUAAACCGCUUUCGCCUGUGACGAAGCGUGAGUGACGGUAAUGGGUAAAGAAGCACCGGCUAACUACGUG
rnacentral:rRNA from 1 species